UAAAGUUAGGUAGUAAGACAUCGCCUCCGCCAAUAAGGUAGAUUCCUGCUCGGCGCGUUGAGUUGACUGGAAUCCAACAGCGCGGAUCCUUGCAUCAGUUUCCUUGCACCAUCCCUGGAUCACAAACAAUCAUUUAAAAGAUUAGCAUGUGCAUUGCACGUGCACGUGAGAACACAACUCACGCAGAAAUCAUUCUCACGUGGAGCUCUAAUCUCUCACCUUCGGCCACCAUCCACGAUCCGUCGGCGCCUUCUUCCGCCUCGCCCAAGCCCUAACCUCUCGCCAUCUUCCACCUCCGCCGUCCGCUGGCACCGUCUUCCACCUCGUCGACAAAUUUCGAAGCCCUAACCCCUCCCCGACGGCCUCUAGAACUGAAGUUCGACGGCCUCCAGCGGAUCCUACUCACGCAGAGACCCACCGCGAUCCGGCGGCGACGACUCGGUUCCCUGACUCCUCCGAGGCCCAGCCCUGCUCGCGACCGGUGAUGGCCCAAGCUCUGCCGCCGUUUCUGCGCAGAUUAUUAUAACUCCGAGCUUCACCCCUCCGACGUCCGGCGACGCCCAGCCCUGCCCUCCACUGUUGGUUCUAGCAAGUUUGAGUUUUCCUUUAAUUUCUUCCUAUUUAAAUGUUUGAUUUCCAGAUUUACAACAGCAUGAGGAUCUUUAUAAUAUCUGUUUAAAACUAUAUUUUUGUCGAUUUUGUUUCAUUUGUAAUUUGCUAACUGAGUUUAAGAAUUUGUAUAAUUUAAGUUUGCUAUCAAAUGUACUUACUGUAAAA